rnacentral:rRNA from 1 species
CCUACGGGGGGCAGCAGUGGGGAAUAUUGGACAAUGGGGGGAACCCUGAUCCAGCCAUGCCGCGUGUGUGAAGAAGGCCCUCGGGUUGUAAAGCACUUUUAGUGAGGAAGAACGCCUGGUGGUUAAUACCCAUCAGGAAAGACAUCACUCACAGAAGAAGCACCGGCUAACUCCGUGCCAGCAGCCGCGGUAAUACGGAGGGUGCGAGCGUUAAUCGGAAUUACUGGGCGUAAAGCGCGCGUAGGUGGCUUGAUAAGCCGGUUGUGAAAGCCCCGGGCUCAACCUGGGAACGGCAUCCGGAACUGUCAAGCUAGAGUGCAGGAGAGGAAGGUAGAAUUCCCGGUGUAGCGGUGAAAUGCGUAGAGAUCGGGAGGAAUACCAGUGGCGAAGGCGGCCUUCUGGACUGACACUGACACUGAGGUGCGAAAGCGUGGGUAGCAAACAGGAUUAGAUACCCCAGUAGUC